rnacentral:rRNA from 1 species
GACGUAGGAUGCAAGCGUUGUCCGGAAUUAUUGGGCGUAAAGAGUUCGUAGGCGGUUUGUUAAGUCUGGUGUUAAAGACGGGAGCUCAACUCCCGCAUGGCAUCGGAUACUGGCAGGCUAGAGUGCGGAAGAGGCGAGUGGAAUUCCUGGUGUAGCGGUGAAAUGCGCAGAUAUCAGGAAGAACACCAGUGGCGAAGGCGGUCU